rnacentral:tRNA from 1 species
GGGGCUGUAGCUCAGUGGCAGAGCGCUUGCUUAGAAUGCAUGAGACACUGGGUUCGAUCUUCAGCACCA